GAGGAAAGAGGGAGGAGGGCAGAAGAAAGGAAAGUAGAAAGUGGAAGGAAGGAGCUUGCUCUUUCCGGAUGAGUUGCGAACGGGUGAGUAACGCGUAGGUAACCUGCCUGGUAGCGGGGGAUAACUAUUGGAAACGAUAGCUAAUACCGCAUAACAGUAGAUGUUGCAUGAUAUCUACUUAAAAGGUGCAAUUGCACCACUACCAGAUGGACCUGCGUUGUAUUAGCUAGUUGGUGAGGUAACGGCUCACCAAGGCGACGAUACAUAGCCGACCUGAGAGGGUGAUCGGCCACACUGGGACUGAGACACGGCCCAGACUCCUACGGGAGGCAGCAGUAGGGAAUCUUCGGCAAUGGACGGAAGUCUGACCGAGCAACGCCGCGUGAGUGAAGAAGGUUUUCGGAUCGUAAAGCUCUGUUGUAAGAGAAGAACGAGUGUGAGAGUGGAAAGUUCACACUGUGACGGUAUCUUACCAGAAAGGGACGGCUAACUACGUA
rnacentral:rRNA from 1 species